GCCGGAUUGGCGGAAUUGGUAGACGCGGAGCACUCAAAAUGCUCUAUCGCAAGAUGUGCGGGUUCGAGUCCCGCAUCCGGUACGA
rnacentral:tRNA from 4 species